rnacentral:snoRNA from 15 species
CACAUGAAGCAUAUGAUGACAAACUGGAUCUGAUAUUCUAUGUUGAAUUUCUUCAAUCCAACCCUGAGCUUCAUGUU